UGAUGAGGUGUGGUAUUCAGUGGAAUUUC
rnacentral:piRNA from 1 species